GCCGCGGCUGAUCAUAAAAUAGAAGGGAAAUGGCCACAGCCUCCGCUGUGCUGCAGCUGCCCAGGUUUUAUAGCCUGAGCCAAACCGUUGCGCAGUGCUGAUCAUGCUUAGCUCCCGUUUCAUUUGGCAUCGCCAGUGAACCUUAGACUUCGCGAAUGUGAAGGUUGUUCUUCGAAUUCCGGGAAAAUUGUCAGCCCGAGGAAGAAGAGAAAGGAUAUAGCUGGAGGACCUCAAAUGCCAAGAUGCCUUUUAAAGGGCAAACAGCCUCUCAGGAUAUUUGAACUGGAGAUGGCUCCGUGUGCGAAUGCAAUUGCUGCCAAGACUGAUGACCUGAGUUUGAUCCUGAAACUCCCAUGGUUCCCUGAGUUCUGAAGGGAAGAAUGAGGCGGGACAUUCCACAGAACUGUGUUUCAAGGACUCCUGUUUGUGUAAUGUCUGGCUUUGUAUGUCUGCAUCUGUUCUCAUCUGCUGCAGGAAGAAGCUUCUCUUAUCGUGACUGAAUAAGGCACUGAUCUAUGAGGAUAAUGGAAUACCAUUAGUAGUCAUUUUAUUGAUACUUUACUUUUUUGUUUUGAACAGAAACAUUUUUGCCAUAGGGCAUUGAACUAUCUAUUUUCUGGCUCUUGGUCUCCAAAGCAAUGUCAGAUAUGGGCUCUAUCUCAUGGAGUGGUCUUUAAGGCAGAUCAAUUAUUUGUUUGCAACUCUCACAUGUUCUGAGCCAUCAUUGCCCUAACAUAUCUUGCAGGCAGGAUAGAUUGUAGGUUAAAGGUUUUGUGGCUGGGUUGUUGAUUAUAUUUCUCUUUUGGUAGCUAACAGAGUACCCUUCCACCCAAAGACACUGGAAUGUAGGUAUUAAAGCCCAUCAUGGAUUUCUCCAUAUUCAGUGUGUUAUGUGAGUUUCAUUCUCAGCAGUGUGCCCUGAUAGUUUGUAGAGAUUAACCCACUGUACUGGUAACACUUGGGUUGUUUGGGGAUUUCCAAAUGACCCUUUUGGCCAAUAAUUCAAUUCAGUCCAAUCCAGUUCUGGAAUUUGAGGCUUUGAUGAGUAAUGGCCAGUGACACUCUGUUGCCCCCAGUAUUAGGAGACCUCACUAGCCUCUUCUUUAUCUUCUUUAGUAAGUUCACACCAUACCAUAUUUCCGUACCGUCCCUCAAAUGCCCUUCAGUUCCAACUGUUCCUUCUUACAAAUCUACUCUUAACUCUAUCUCUCCUCUAGUUUCUGGAUAUAUGAAUAGAACAACAGUUAACAAUGUUGGGCAUACUGCCCCACAGGUGGCCCAUACAUAUACAGCCACCCAAUUAGACAAGAUGGAUGAAGCAAAGAAGUGCAGGCCGACAGGAGCCGGAUGUAGAUCGCUCCUGAGAGACACAGCCAGAAUACAGCAAAUACAGAGGCGAAUGCCAGCAGCAAACCACUGAACUGAGAAUAGGACCCCCGUUGAAGGAAUCAGAGAAAGAACUGGAAGAGCUUGAAGGGGCUCGAGACCCCAUAUGUACAACAAUGCCAAGCAACCAGAGCUUCCAGGGACCAAGCCACUACCUAAGGACUAUACAUGGACUGACCCUGGACUCUGACCUCAUAGGUAGCAAUGAAUAUCCUAGUAAGAGCACCAGUGGAAGGGGAAGCCCUUGGUCCUUCUAAGACUGAACCCCCAGUGAACUAGAUUGUUGGGGGGAGGGCGGCAAU